UCCAUGCGUUUCUCAUUUAUCAAACGCUUUUUGUAACACUUUUUAAUACGUGUGAUUAAUUUAAUAUAAACUGUUAUUUUAGUUCGAGGCGGUUGUCGCUGACGUCAGUGAUAAAGCUGCCAGGCGCGGUGUCUGAUGGGAACUCGGAAACCGGAAGCUCCCUCUCGUCCUGCAGCAAAGCUGAGAAGCGGUUGUGUUUGUCCUUGCCUCGCAGUCCAAAUCUUUUUGCAUAGAUUUUUCCAGUACAGGUCUCAGACCAUGAGCGCCAACAAGGCCAAAUGUCAGUCUGGUCUUCGAGUGCCAUUGGAAAGCAGUGCGAAGGAUAGACACGGCUGAUUUAAAACCAUUGCGUCCUGUGCUGAUACUGUGAAAUCAGUGCGAAGGAUAGAUACGGCUGAUUUUAAAACCAUUGCGUCCUGUGCUGAUACUGCGGCUACCAGUAAUUGCAACAGAGCAGAAAGGUGUGGGGUCUCGUUGUGACUCUGGUGUUUUUUUUUUUUUUUUAACCAAGUGCUAGAAGAACACAUUUUAUUUAAGGUAAGUGAAAAUAAAGAUGUCAUUUACUGAGUAGGUUGGCAAAAUUAGCAUUUGUUCAUCUUCACUCUGGGUGUAUUCCCCCAGUUAGUCUUGAAUUUCUAUUGUAAAUUUGUUUAUCUGUGGUUGCUUAAAGUGAAUAAACAAAUGAAAAACCUAAA